AAUGAACGCUGGCGGCAUGCCUAACACAUGCAAGUCGAACGAGACCAUCGGGUCUAGUGGCGCACGGGUGCGUCACGCGUGGGAACCUUCCCUUAUGUUCGGAAUAACUCUCCGACAGGGGUGCUAAUACCGGAUAAUGUCUUCGGACCAAAGAUUUAUCGCCCUUGGGUGGGCCCGCGUUGGAUUAGCUUGUUGGUAGGGUAAAAGCCUAUCAGGGCGAGGAUCCUUAGCUGGUCAGAGAGGCUGGGCAGCGACACUUGGACUAGGACCCGGCCCAGACUCUUACGGAAGGGAGCAGAGGCGAAUAUAGCAAUACCGGGUGAAGGAUGAAGGAGUACGGCUGGGAGAGUGAUGUAGGCCGGAGGGAUGUAAAGCUCUUUUACCCGGGAUGAUUAUGACGGUACCGAAAGAAUAAGCACCGGCUAACUUCGUG
rnacentral:rRNA from 1 species